rnacentral:rRNA from 1 species
UAGGGAAUCUUUCGCAAUGGGCGAAAGCCUGACGGAGCAACGCCGCGUGAGUGAUGAAGGUCUUCGGAUCGUAAAACUCUGUUAUUAGGGAAGAACAAAUGUGUAAGUAACUAUGCACGUCUUGACGGUACCUAAUCAGAAAGCCACGGCUAACUACGUGCCAGCAGCCGCGGUAAUACGUAGGUGGCAAGCGUUAUCCGGAAUUAUUGGGCGUAAAGCGCGCGUAGGCGGUUUUUUAAGUCUGAUGUGAAAGCCCACGGCUCAACCGUGGAGGGUCAUUGGAAACUGGAAAACUUGAGUGCAGAAGAGGAAAGUGGAAUUCCAUGUGUAGCGGUGAAAUGCGCAGAGAUAUGGAGGAACACCAGUGGCGAAGGCGACUUUCUGGUCUGUAACUGACGCUGAUGUGCGAAAGCGUGGGGAUCAAACAGG